rnacentral:rRNA from 1 species
AUUGAACGCUGGCGGCAUGCCUUACACAUGCAAGUCGAACGGCAGCACGGGGCAACCUGGUGGCGAGUGGCGAACGGGUGAGUAAUGCAUCGGAACGUGCCAUUGAGUGGGGGAUAACGUAGCGAAAGUUGCGCUAAUACCGCAUAUUCUGUGAGCAGGAAAGCAGGGGACCGCAAGGGCCUUGCGCUCUUUGAGCGGCCGAUGUCAGAUUAGCUAGUUGGUGAGGUAACGGCUUACCAAGGCGACGAUCUGUAGCGGGUCUGAGAGGAUGAUCCGCCACACUGGAACUGAGACACGGUCCAGACUCCUACGGGAGGCAGCAGUGGGGAAUUUUGGACAAUGGGCGCAAGCCUGAUCCAGCCAUGCCGCGUGAGUGAAGAAGGCCUU